GUGGGCUGUGGGCUGUGGGCUGUGGGCUGCGGCCGCCAGGUGGCGCCCUGACUUCUGUUCGGAGGCCUUCCCCUCCCUGCGGAUCCCUGGGACCCCCGCCAGGGCAGGGCACUCGCCCAUACCGCGCCCGAGGGCUUGCGCGUAGUGUUCACAGACCGUGAAGAAGCUCCACCCCAAACACAGAGGCACUGCUUGCUUUGGCCCCAAAACCCUGGUGCAGGACCUAGGGGACGUAGGGCGGCAGGACGAACAUUGGCCCGGCCCUCGCCUCCUCCUGUGACCCCGCAACCCCUCACCUCCCGCGGGGAGAAGAGGCGUAAGAGACGGGGUUUCACCAUGUUGCCCAGGCUGCUCUCGAACACCUGAGCUGAAGCUUCCCAAAGUGUAGGGAUUACAAGCGUGAGCCACCGUGCCCAGCCUCUACCCAACUCUUUUAGGACACAUUCCCAGGAGCCUAGCUACGUGGAGAAUAGCUAAAGCCCCAGCCUUCAACCCUUGCUUAACUCAUAGAGGACUGCCAUGUGAGUGAGCCAACUCAGAGGCAAAUUCUCAGUUAGCUGAUUUGCCCCAGCUGAUGGUGCAUGGAGCAAAAUGAGCCUUCCCCAUGAAGCCCUGCCCAAAAUACAGAUAUAUGAGCAAAAUAAAUGAUUGUUGUUUUGAAGCCACUGAGUUUUGGAGUGUUUCACUAUGGAGCAAUAGUAACUGAACUCAGGCCUAAAUACCAAGGAGUCAGCCAUGAGGAAAUCUUCAUAGAGCAUUUUAAGCAUAGCCAACAACAAAUCCCAUGGCUUGAAGACAGGAACAAGCUUGGCACACUGAGGAACAGAGACGGUCAGGUAGCUGAGGGGGAGAGCCCUAAGAAGCGUGGUUGGAGAGGAAGGCUGAGCCACAUUAAAGCCUCUUGGGCCAUGAAGAAGUCUGAAAUGAUCAAAAGUUCAGUAGGAGUUCAUUCUCCUCAUAGCCGCAAGAGCCAACAAGGGUUGUGAGCAAGGCAAUGAUGGGAUUUAUUGUCUUAAAAGAUGGCUCCAGAAGCUAUGGGGAGAAUGAUACGUAGCAGUAUGAAAGUGGAAGCAGAUGCUGGGCACGGUGGCUCAUGCGUGUAAUCCCAGCACUUUGGGAGGCCGAGGAGGGUGAAGAGCUUGAGCCCAGGAAUUCAAGACCAGCCUGGGCAACAUGGCAAAACCUUGUCUCUACAAAAAAUACAAAAAUUAGCUGGGCAUUGUGGUGUGCACCUGUAGUCCCAACUCCUCAGGAGGCUGAGGUGGGAGGAUCACUUGAGCUGGGGAGGCAGAAGUUGCAGUGAGCUGAGAUCAUGCCACUGCACUCCAGCCUGGGUAAUAGAGCAAGACUGAAUCAAAAGGAAAAAAAAAAAAAGGAAAGAAAGGAAGAAAGAAAGAAAAGAAGGAAGGAAGGAGGGAGGGAGGGAAGGAAGAAAGGAUGAAAGAAAGAAAGAAAGAACCAACAGUGGAAGCAAGGAGAUCAGUUAGCAAUUGUCCAAGAUGAACACAGUUGACACCCAAUAGUGAGGAGAAGAAGAUAGACUCCAGGCACAUUUUGUAGAGGCAAUAAGCUUUGCUGAUAAGAUGAGAGGUGAGGGACAAGGAAGAAUAAAAGCAAACCUCUAGGUUUUUGUCUCAAGCAGACAUGUGAAUGACAGUGCUGUUGGCUAGAUGAGAAAGGCUUGGAGAGGAACAGGGUUGGGGUGGGAUAAACCUUCCCCUUCCCUCAGGAUAUCUGAUUUCAAUGUGGUUGUAGAAAGAAUCCAAGCUGGCUAAAUAAUUCUCACUAAGCAGUUACCAGGAGGCAAGUACAGAGCUUCCGACUCUGGUAGGGGUGGAGAUUCUGAUAACUACUUGGCUUGCCUUAGGAAUUCCUUUCUAUUUAUGUGUUUGCCUAUAUAGCUUUUAGAGUCUCUAUGCAGAGUGUGGUUGUUAUAAUUACUAUGGCAAAAAUCCCAGCUGGAAGCUAAAACACACCCAAAGGAGGAAAUUGAACUCAACAUGUAGGAGACCCAGCCAAGUGCUUUUCCCAAACCAUACUGCUUUAGCCAGUCUGGAGAAGAGCUCCUGAGUGACCAAGAGGAAGGAACCAGGCCUUAGGUACCUACUGAAAAAAUGGCUAAUAAGAGACAGGGGAACAAACUACAAACUCCUGGAAGGACUCCCAAAGCAGGCAGAAGACCUAGGCUCUAGAGAGCAGCUUCUGC
rnacentral:lncRNA from 1 species